rnacentral:rRNA from 1 species
CAAUAGCGUAUAUUAAAGUUGUUGCAGUUAAAAAGCUCGUAGUUGGAUUUCUGGUGGGAGCGAUCGGUCUGGCGCUUAGCGCGAGUACUUGCAUCGUCUCCGGCCAUCCUUGGGGAGAGUCUGUCUGGCAUUAGGUUGUCGGGCAGAGGAUCCUCAUCGUUUACUGUGAAAAAAUUAGAGUGUUCAAAGCAGGCUUAUGCCGUUGAAUAUAUUAGCAUGGAAUAAUAAGAUAGGACUUUGGUACUAUUUUGAUGGUUUGCGCACCAAAGUAAUGAUUAAUAGGGACAGUUGGGGGUAUUCGUAUUCCGUUGUCAGAGGUGAAAUUCUUGGAUUUACGGAAGACGAACUACUGCGAAAGCAUUUGCCAAGGAUGUUUUCAUUAA